rnacentral:hammerhead_ribozyme from 1 species
AUUCAGUUGACGAGUUCCCAAUAGGACGACACGCACGUCCUGAAU